AUUGAACGCUGGCGGCAGGCCUAACACAUGCAAGUCGAACGGUAACAGGAAGCAGCUUGCUGCUUUGCUGACGAGUGGCGGACGGGUGAGUAAUGUCUGGGAAACUGCCUGAUGGAGGGGGAUAACUACUGGAAACGGUAGCUAAUACCGCAUAACGUCGCAAGACCAAAGAGGGGGACCUUCGGGCCUCUUGCCAUCGGAUGUGCCCAGAUGGGAUUAGCUAGUAGGUGGGGUAACGGCUCACCUAGGCGACGAUCCCUAGCUGGUCUGAGAGGAUGACCAGCCACACUGGAACUGAGACACGGUCCAGACUCCUACGGGAGGCAGCAGUGGGGAAUAUUGCACAAUGGGCGCAAGCCUGAUGCAGCCAUGCCGCGUGUAUGAAGAAGGCCUUCGGGUUGUAAAGUACUUUCAGCGGGGAGGAAGGGAGUAAAGUUAAUACCUUUGCUCAUUGACGUUACCCGCAGAAGAAGCCCCGGCUAACUCCGUG
rnacentral:rRNA from 1 species